UGAUGAUGAGCCUUACUCCAACAGCAAGAAAAGUUAUAGCCAUAUUACAACAUGAAACACUUAAUAACAGAGAAUGCCAGGUCAUGGAUUAUCUAAAGAGGUUCAUCAAGCACUGUAGUGAUGUUCGGCUCAGGAAAUUUCUGCGUUUCUGCACAGGAGCUGACCUCCUUGUUGCAAGGUUUAUUCAUGUCCGAUUUGUGCAGCCACAAACUUCCUUCACAAGAUCUCCCCAGUCCCACACCUGUGGAUGUGUGUUAGAAGUUCCAAACAAUUAUACUUCAUACCCUGAGCUUGCAGAGGAGUUCAUAAACAUCCUUGAUGCAAACAUAUGGGUGAUGGAUAUUGUGUAAAGGUUGUCAGACAGUAUGUGCAGCAGGAUAUGACUGUUUCUUUGUAUCAUUCACAGUCUCCAUCUCAAACACAGUGUCCUGAUAUAAACCUUUUAUCCUGCACAAGAUAAUGUUUCAUAAAAUCCCAGAUGUUCUUACAGCAGUGUUACAAUGUGAUAUAUGUGUUACACAGCGCAUACAGAUUCACAUUCAGUUUAAAUGUACUUAUGUUUUCAGAAUUUACACUGUCUAAAUAGUAUUCCUACAAUACAGUAUAUUGUAAGAAAAAGUUUAAUGUUUAAAAUUUAAUGUUGAAAUAUUAUUCAUUAGGAGUUCAUUAAUUAAUACUAUUCAACUGACUACAGUUUUAAAAAAUAAAGAAAAU